rnacentral:rRNA from 1 species
CCUACGGGAGGCAGCAGUGGGGGAUAUUGGACAAUGGGGGGAAACCCUGAUGCAGCGACGCCGCGUGAGUGAAGAAGUAUUUCGGUAUGUAAAGCUCUAUCAGCAGGGAAGAAAAUGACGGUACCUGAUUAAGAAGCACUGGCUAACUACGGGCCAGCAGCCGCGGUAAUAGGUAGGGGGCAGGCGUUAUCCGGAUUUACUGGGUGUAAAGGGAGCGUAGACGGCAGCACAAGUCUGGAGUGAAAUGCCCGGGCUUAACCCCGGAACUGCUUUGGAAACUGUGCAGUUAGAGUGCAGGAGAGGUAAGUGGAAUUCCUAGUGUAGCGGUGAAAUGCGUAGAUAUUAGGAAGAACACCAGUGGCGAAGGCGGCUUUCUGGACUGAAACUGACGCUGAGGCACGAAAGCGUGGGGAGCGAACAGGAUUAGAUACCCGUGUAGUC